rnacentral:rRNA from 1 species
UGAGCAAUCUGCCCUUCUCAUCGGAAUAAGCGUUGGAAACGACGUCUAAUGCCGAAUACGACCUCCUUUCGCAUGAUCGGAGGUGGAAAGCUCCGGCGGAGAAGGAUGAGCUCGCGGCCUAUCAGCUAGUUGGUGUGGGUAAUGGCCCACCAAGGCGACGACGGGUAGCCGGCCUGAGAGGGUGACCGGCCACACUGGGACUGGGACACGGCCCAGACUCCUACGGGAGGNAG